rnacentral:rRNA from 1 species
UACGUAGGUGGCAAGCGUUGUCCGGAUUUACUGGGCGUAAAGAGCGCGCAGGCGGUCGUUCAAGUCGAGUGUGAAAGCCCCCGGCUCAACUGGGGAGGGUCACUCGAUACUGAUCGACUUGAAGGCAGGAGAGGGAAGCGGAAUUCCCGGUGUAGUGGUGAAAUGCGUAGAUAUCGGGAGGAACACCGAUAGCGAAGGCAGCUCGCUGGGACGGUACUGACGCUGAGGCGCGAAAGCGUGGGGAGCGAACAGG